GGUUAAGCGACUAAGCGUACACGGUGGAUGCCCUGGCAGUCAGAGGCGAUGAAGGACGUGCUAAUCUGCGAUAAGCGUCGGUAAGGUGAUAUGAACCGUUAUAACCGGCGAUUUCCGAAUGGGGAAACCCAGUGUGUUUCGACACACUAUCAUUAACUGAAUCCAUAGGUUAAUGAGGCGAACCGGGGGAACUGAAACAUCUAAGUACCCCGAGGAAAAGAAAUCAACCGAGAUUCCCCCAGUAGCGGCGAGCGAACGGGGAGCAGCCCAGAGCCUGAAUCAGUAUGUGUGUUAGUGGAAGCGUCUGGAAAGGCGCGCGAUACAGGGUGACAGCCCCGUACACAAAAAUGCACAUAUUGUGAGCUCGAUGAGUAGGGCGGGACACGUGGUAUCCUGUCUGAAUAUGGGGGGACCAUCCUCCAAGGCUAAAUACUCCUGACUGACCGAUAGUGAACCAGUACCGUGAGGGAAAGGCGAAAAGAACCCCGGCGAGGGGAGUGAAAAAGAACCUGAAACCGUGUACGUACAAGCAGUGGGAGCACGCUUCGGCGUGUGACUGCGUACCUUUUGUAUAAUGGGUCAGCGACUUAUAUUCUGUAGCAAGGUUAACCGAAUAGGGGAGCCGAAGGGAAACCGAGUCUUAACUGGGCGUUAAGUUGCAGGGUAUAGACCCGAAACCCGGUGAUCUAGCCAUGGGCAGGUUGAAGGUUGGGUAACACUAACUGGAGGACCGAACCGACUAAUGUUGAAAAAUUAGCGGAUGACUUGUGGCUGGGGGUGAAAGGCCAAUCAAACCGGGAGAUAGCUGGUUCUCCCCGAAAGCUAUUUAGGUAGCGCCUCGUGAACUCAUCUCCGGGGGUAGAGCACUGUUUCGGCAAGGGGGUCAUCCCGACUUACCAACCCGAUGCAAACUGCGAAUACCGGAGAAUGUUAUCACGGGAGACACACGGCGGGUGCUAACGUCCGUCGUGAAGAGGGAAACAACCCAGACCGCCAGCUAAGGUCCCAAAGUCAUGGUUAAGUGGGAAACGAUGUGGGAAGGCCCAGACAGCCAGGAUGUUGGCUUAGAAGCAGCCAUCAUUUAAAGAAAGCGUAAUAGCUCACUGGUCGAGUCGGCCUGCGCGGAAGAUGUAACGGGGCUAAACCAUGCACCGAAGCUGCGGCAGCGACGCUUAUGCGUUGUUGGGUAGGGGAGCGUUCUGUAAGCCUGUGAAGGUGUGCUGUGAGGCAUGCUGGAGGUAUCAGAAGUGCGAAUGCUGACAUAAGUAACGAUAAAGCGGGUGAAAAGCCCGCUCGCCGGAAGACCAAGGGUUCCUGUCCAACGUUAAUCGGGGCAGGGUGAGUCGACCCCUAAGGCGAGGCCGAAAGGCGUAGUCGAUGGGAAACAGGUUAAUAUUCCUGUACUUGGUGUUACUGCGAAGGGGGGACGGAGAAGGCUAUGUUGGCCGGGCGACGGUUGUCCCGGUUUAAGCGUGUAGGCUGGUUUUCCAGGCAAAUCCGGAAAAUCAAGGCUGAGGCGUGAUGACGAGGCACUACGGUGCUGAAGCAACAAAUGCCCUGCUUCCAGGAAAAGCCUCUAAGCAUCAGGUAACAUCAAAUCGUACCCCAAACCGACACAGGUGGUCAGGUAGAGAAUACCAAGGCGCUUGAGAGAACUCGGGUGAAGGAACUAGGCAAAAUGGUGCCGUAACUUCGGGAGAAGGCACGCUGAUAUGUAGGUGAAGCGACUUGCUCGUGGAGCUGAAAUCAGUCGAAGAUACCAGCUGGCUGCAACUGUUUAUUAAAAACACAGCACUGUGCAAACACGAAAGUGGACGUAUACGGUGUGACGCCUGCCCGGUGCCGGAAGGUUAAUUGAUGGGGUUAGCGCAAGCGAAGCUCUUGAUCGAAGCCCCGGUAAACGGCGGCCGUAACUAUAACGGUCCUAAGGUAGCGAAAUUCCUUGUCGGGUAAGUUCCGACCUGCACGAAUGGCGUAAUGAUGGCCAGGCUGUCUCCACCCGAGACUCAGUGAAAUUGAACUCGCUGUGAAGAUGCAGUGUACCCGCGGCAAGACGGAAAGACCCCGUGAACCUUUACUAUAGCUUGACACUGAACAUUGAGCCUUGAUGUGUAGGAUAGGUGGGAGGCUUUGAAGUGUGGACGCCAGUCUGCAUGGAGCCGACCUUGAAAUACCACCCUUUAAUGUUUGAUGUUCUAACGUUGACCCGUAAUCCGGGUUGCGGACAGUGUCUGGUGGGUAGUUUGACUGGGGCGGUCUCCUCCUAAAGAGUAACGGAGGAGCACGAAGGUUGGCUAAUCCUGGUCGGACAUCAGGAGGUUAGUGCAAUGGCAUAAGCCAGCUUGACUGCGAGCGUGACGGCGCGAGCAGGUGCGAAAGCAGGUCAUAGUGAUCCGGUGGUUCUGAAUGGAAGGGCCAUCGCUCAACGGAUAAAAGGUACUCCGGGGAUAACAGGCUGAUACCGCCCAAGAGUUCAUAUCGACGGCGGUGUUUGGCACCUCGAUGUCGGCUCAUCACAUCCUGGGGCUGAAGUAGGUCCCAAGGGUAUGGCUGUUCGCCAUUUAAAGUGGUACGCGAGCUGGGUUUAGAACGUCGUGAGACAGUUCGGUCCCUAUCUGCCGUGGGCGCUGGAGAACUGAGGGGGGCUGCUCCUAGUACGAGAGGACCGGAGUGGACGCAUCACUGGUGUUCGGGUUGUCAUGCCAAUGGCACUGCCCGGUAGCUAAAUGCGGAAGAGAUAAGUGCUGAAAGCAUCUAAGCACGAAACUUGCCCCGAGAUGAGUUCUCCCUGACUCCUUGAGAGUCCUGAAGGAACGUUGAAGACGACGACGUUGAUAGGCCGGGUGUGUAAGCGCAGCGAUGCGUUGAGCUAACCGGUACUAAUGAACCGUGAGGCUUAACCUU
rnacentral:rRNA from 1 species